rnacentral:rRNA from 1 species
CCUAAGGUAGCGAAAUUCCUUGUCGGGUAAGUUCCGACCUGCACGAAUGGCGUAACGAUCUCCACACUGUCUCGGCCAGAGACUCGGUGAAAUUGCAGUCGCGGUGAAAAUUCCGUGUACCCGCAGAAAGACGGAAAGACCCUGUGCACCUUUACUAUAGCUUGACAUUGGAUUUUGGGCCUGCAUGUGUAGGAUAGGUGGGAGGCUGUGAACCCUGUACGCCAGUAUGGGGGGAGCCAUCCUUGAAAUACCACCCUUGCAUGUUUAAGAUCCUAACUUCUUCCGGUUAUCCCGGAGAAAGACAGUGUCUGGCGGGUAGUUUGACUGGGGCGGUCGCCUCCUAAAGUGUAACGGAGGCAUGCAAAGGUUCCCUCAGCCUGAUCGGAAACCAGGCGCUGAGUGCAAACGCAUAAGGGAGCUUGACUGUAAGAGAGACAUCUCGAACAGGAACGAAAGUUGGCGUUAGUGAUCCGGUGGUCCCGUAUGGAAGGGCCAUCGCUCAUUGGAUAAAAGGUACGCCGGGGAUAACAGGCUGAUCGCAUCCAAGAGUUCACAUCGACGAUGCGGUUUGGCACCUCGAUGUCGGCUCAUCACAUCCUGGGGCUGAAGCAGGUCCCAAGGGUACGGCUGUUCGCCGUUUAAAGUGGUACGCGAGCUGGGUUUAAAACGUCGUGAGACAGUUUGGUCCCUAUCUUCUGUGGGCGAAGGAGAAUUGAGAGGGCCUGUCCCUAGUACGAGAGGACCGGGAUGGACGCACCCCUGGUGAUCCUGUUGUCGCGCCAGCGGCAUAGCAGGGUAGCUAUGUGCGGAAGGGAUAACCGCUGAAAGCAUCUAAGCGGGAAGCCUGCCUCAAGAUAAGUUCUCCCCUCGAAAGAGCUGAAGGGCCCGGGUAGACUACCCGGUCGAUAGGCUGGAGGUGUAAGCGCGGCGACGUGCUCAGCUGACCAGUACUAAUAGCCCGAGCGGCUUAUUUUU